AGUAAGAGGGUUUCUCAUCAAGACAGAGCCUUAGGACUUUGGCUCUGAGGUAUAUAAGCUUUGCACAUUCUUUGAACCUGUCCUCACUACUUGAAAAGAGAGGGAGAGGGGGAGAUGGAGCUAGAGCCAGAGCCAGAGCAAGAAAGGAAAGGAGGGAGAGAAUUUUAAGGAAACUAUGACGCAUAAGGGAUAAAAAGAAAAAACAUCUGCUGGAUAAUUAGCAAAUUCCUUCACAAAGAGAACAUUUAAAAGUUUAAAGUUUUCGACACCAACUAGACCACACUGUUUCCAAAGUAAUGCUUACUAUUAUUUUCUAUUCUAAAUUCAGUCAGUUCAGGAAAUUCUUUAAAGAGGAAAGUAGGGGAAGAAGUGGAAAGGGGUGCCCUCUUCAGUAACUACCAAUUGAAAUCUCAAUCUGUUGUGAAGUUUUGGUAUCUUGUGUCCCCCACGAGGGGGAAAGAGCCUUAAAUAUCAUUUCCAAGCUGGCUCAAUAUUCGUUUGUCCUCAAUUUGAACCAAAUUAAUUUGAUAUCCAAAUGUGCUACUUUUUAACCAAGUGUUGUGCUAUGCUCAGUCACUCAGUUGUGUCUGACUCCGAAGGCCUUAGGACUGCAGCCUGCCAGGCUCCUCUGUCCAUGGGAUUUCUCAGGCAAGAAUACUGGAGUGGGUUGCCAUUUCUUCCUCCAAGGGAUCUUCCCAACCCAGGGAUCAAACUCAAACCUCCUGUGUCUCCUGCACUGCAGGUGAAUUCUUUACCUGCUGAGUCAUUUGGGAAGCCCAACAAAGCAAGUAAACUAUAUAUUUCAACUUCUUCAGUUGCUGAAGUGGAAAGGGGUGAAUUGUAUUUUUAGCUGAGCAAACAUAAAAGGGAGCUGGAAAUGGUUUGGGUCCCAUAUCCAGUAAGGAAAAUGGAGAACCGGUGGCCAAUCAGUCUACAAAAUUGGCUGAAUUUCAAGAAGAAAAAUGGUGAUGAGAAAGAUUCUGUGGAUCAAGAAAUCAGAUGCGGCACAAGAAUUCAGACAGAGAGGACUAGGUUUCCGCUCCACAGUGUCUGAGAUCUGGGUGGGGAAGACUUAAGCAGCUGGAGGGGGCAUGUCCAGAGAGCCGGGGACUGGAAGCACCUGAUGCUGCUUCCUAUACAUCUGACACCUGGCCUGGGAUGACUGGAAGACUGACUCAGGUGGAACUAUGGAUUGGGACACCUACUCGUGUAAUGUCUCCUUGGAGCUUGAGAGUCCUUACAGCACAGCAGACUUGAUCUUCUUAUUUGGCAGCUUUGGAUACCAGCAUUCUUCAACACCUUUUUUGAGAACUACUAAGACCAAGGAUAGGAAAACUCCCAGGAAAUGCAAACCUUUCAUCCCCCACACUGUGCUGGGUGCUAUGGAAACAAGCUCUAUGGCAUAAAGCUGCCUAUCACAAGCACCCCUAAUCAAAAGACUGUUGGAACAGAGUGCUGAUCCAGAAGAAAAAAGAAAUACUGGACUUCCCUGGUGGUCUAGUGGUUAAGAAUCCUGCCGAUGCGGGGGAAACACGUUCGAGCCUUGGUCUGAGAAGAUUCCGUAUGCCUUAAGGAAGCUAAGCCCAUAUGCUGUAAC
ensembl:lncRNA